AUGUCUUGCUUAUUAAUGCAAUGCCUAAAUUGAAACAACUCAAUAAUUUUUGUGGCAAAUAAUGUCUUGGUCCUAUUGUUGUUCUAAAUGUUAUUUCAGCAACUCUUAAAGGAUCUUCUGAUCUAGUUAAGUGAGUUCUAGUUUUAUGGGGUUCUGUUGAGUUGUUAAAUGAGUUUGGGGAUUAGCUACAACCUUUUGGAGGCCUAUUGCUGUUCUAAAUGUUAUUUUAACAACUCUUAAAGGCAGUUCGUUGGUUUUGAUGGAGACCUGUUUAUGCCGUUUGGAGGCUAUUUGAAGAGGAACAUUUAAUUUGACAAACAUUGAGCUAUAUUUUGUAGGAUGUGCAAGCAUGUAGGAGAAUUUGAAUCGACUUUUUUGUCUGACCUUGAGGGAGGCCAAUUGCCAAUAAAAGACUCCCAUGAUGGUUUGGAAGGUGAAUUAUGGAUGAAUUUAGAUGGUGACCUCUCUCCCAUAUGUCUGAAAAUCUUGACAAUACUUUCCUCUUCCUCAUAGCUGUAAUGUUUUCAUGUCUUUAUUGCUUAACUACAUUAUAUCAUUUGUCUGAAAUUUAUAUUCUCAUGGCAAGCAGUUCUUGACAUAGCAUGUGUUGGUACAGGUCUUCAUCCUCUUUACAGAUUCUUCCUGCUAACUUUUUAUUACUCUCUGCUGUGAGUCCUUGAUCUCAUUGAACUCUUUCACAAUACUUACAAUCAGAAUUAUGAUUGGCAGAUCAUGGUUGACAGUUAUGUGUUUCAAGAUCCUUAGUAGAUCGAUUUAGGCUACUUAUCAUGGUUGGCAGAUAUUUUGCAGCUAUUCUUUUUCAUGUUUAUGAAAGUGCCAAGUUCCCUACUUUGGUGGGCUAGGAAUGUGAUGUUGGGUUUGGUCCUAGGAGUGGCAUUUUGUUUCCCUCUUGGUAAUAUUCCUAUUCUCAUCUAUUUAUAUGAAUGAAUUAAAAGCUUACCGUUCGUUGCUUCCAAAUGUAAAUUGGCACUGCUAUGUUAAUUUACACAAAUACAACUUUUGUAUUUUUCAUGGA